CCGGCACGGGUGAGUAACGCGUAUGCAACUUGCCUAUCAGGGGGGAGUGACCCGGCGAAAGUCGGACUAAUACCGCAUGAAGCAGGGGCCCCGCAUGGGGAUAUUUGCUAAAGAUUCAUCGCUGAUAGAUAGGCAUGCGUUCCAUUAGGCAGUUGGCGGGGUAACGGCCCACCAAACCGACGAUGGAUAGGGGUUCUGAGAGGAAGGUCCCCCACAUUGGUACUGAGACACGGACCAA
rnacentral:rRNA from 1 species